rnacentral:sRNA from 2 species
UUCAGCCACACGCCGAAUCCUGCCGGUGGCCGGAGGUCAUACGUCGCGACAGCGCCGAAGGCAGGAGCGGGGGACCCAAGGUAAGUCGCCGGCCCCGCCCGCGGAAGCGGGACAGCCGGCUUGGGGUGAAGCCGCGUGGAGGUUCACGCGGCCGGGCCACUCACAGCCCGAACCCGACAGCUCACCUCGUAGGCGUCGGUGAGGAAACGA